CAUUCAGUUGGGCACUCUAAGGUGACUGCCGGUGACAAACCGGAGGAAGGUGGGGAUGACGUCAAAUCAUCAUGCCCCUUAUGACCUGGGCUACACACGUGCUACAAUGGAUGGUACAAAGGGCAGCGAAGCCGCGAGGUGGAGCCAAUCCCAUAAAGCCAUUCUCAGUUCGGAUUGCAGGCUGCAACUCGCCUGCAUGAAGCCGGAAUUGCUAGUAAUCGCGGAUCAGCAUGCCGCGGUGAAUACGUUCCCGGGCCUUGUACACACCGCCCGUCACACCACGAGAGUUUGUAACACCCGAAGUCGGUGGGGUAACCUUUUGGAGCCAGCCGCCUAAGGUGGGACAGAUGAUUGGGGUGAAGUCGUAACAAGGUAGCCGUAUCGGAAGGUGCGGCUGGAUCACCUCCUUU
rnacentral:rRNA from 1 species